GAUGAACGCUGGCGGCGUGCCUAAUACAUGCAAGUCGAGCGAACAGACGAGGAGCUUGCUCCUCUGACGUUAGCGGCGGACGGGUGAGUAACACGUGGAUCACCUCCCUAUAAGACUGGGAUCACUUCGAGACACCGGAGCUAAUCCCGGAUAAUAUAUUGAACCGCAUUGUUCAUUAGUGAAAGACGGCUUUGCUGUCAGUUAUAGCUGGAUCCGCGCCGCAUUAGCUAGUUGGUAAGGUAACGGCUUACCAAGGGGACGAUGCGUAGCCGACCUGAGAGGGGGAUCGGCCACACUGGAACUGAGACACGGUCCAGACUCCUACGGGAGGCAGCAGUAGGGAAUCUUCCGCAAUGGGCGAAAGCCUGACGGAGCGACGCCGCGUGAGUGAUGAAGGUCUUCGGAUCGUAAAACUCUGUUAUUGGGUAAGAACAGAUGUGGAAGUAACUAUGCACGUCUUGACGGUACCUAAUCAGAAAGCCACGGCUAACUACGUG
rnacentral:rRNA from 1 species